AACCAGCCAGCCAGAGUUCAGGAAAAGCUAAAGGAUGACCUUCUUCAGUAACACGUCUUGGAGUCUAAAACAUGCCAGGACUAGUUUAGCAGACAAUUGAAAGCUGAAACCUUCAAGAUCCAUGCUUGCAGACUAAAGAUUAGAUUAAAGAUUAGAUUGUGAAGAGGCAAGAUGCUUCCAGACCUAGGCCUAGGGAUAGUUAGAUAGAACUGCUCUGGCUCAGCCCAAGCCAUGCAUUGGUAAAGUGUGGGUAUGGCUCUCGUCUUAUCCCUUUACCUGAGGAAAUAAAAGUGACAUUUACAUUUACAGAGAACACAUAAACGAGUUUAGUUCUUAUGAGUUUAUGUCCAGAGUGCAGACAGACUAUGGAAGAAAAGUGAACAAGCAGUCACAUGAUUCAGCAGUAGUAAACUUAAAGUUGUAAGAAGAUAGAAGAUAGUAUGCUGUCUUACUUAUUCCCCAUUGCUGUAAAGAGACACAACAACCAAGGCAACUGAUAGGAGACAGAGUUUCCUAGGGGCUCACAUAUCAGAGAGUGCUGUGUUCAGGGCCAUCAUGAUAGAGAACAUGGCAGCAGGCAGGCAGGCACAUACAGGAGCUGAGAACAUACAUCAAAUACAAGUACAAGGCAAAGAAAGAGCUAGCUGGGAAUGGCUUGGCUUUUGAAAUGUCAAAGCCCAUCCCCAAUGUCAUACUUCCUCUAACAAGGCCACACCUUCUAAUCCUUCCCAAAUAGUUCCACCAACAGGGGACUAAGCACUUAAAUAUAUAAGACUAUAGGGGCCACUCAUGUUCAAAGCACAAAUGCCUUAUUAUUUGAAGUCAGCUCCUGAGAUUCAGAGUUUAAUGGUGCAAAUACGUUGAAGUUGGCACCUCAAGAGGGAGUAUCUGAACCUAAGCUUAAAUUUCAAUUGGGAACUGACUCCUUGCUAACUCCUUAUAAGAAAGCCUUGUUUACAUAGUGAUUUCUCUCUCUUAUUUUGUUCAUGUCAUCAAUAAGAGCUUAUGUUCUCCUGUCACAUGUGUGGGAGUUAGAAACUAAAUUACUGAAGACCACAUGGUAAAUAAAAGAAUGGAAGUCAAUUGAGUCCUCACUUGACUUGUCUCCUGUAAUGUCCUGGGUCCUGUGUGAAUUUGAGAUGGAUACUAGCUUAUGAGUGUAGUCAGUAGAAAACAAUAAGAGGUGUUAUUGGCAUCUCCAAAAGGCAGUCCUGUUUGGUAUUUAUGCCUCUGAGUCACCCAUGCUUGCCCAUUACAGAUAGAGAGGAGUGACUAGAUAUAAAAUGAAAGUGUUCUGUCUUGCUCACAUGCUCUCAUUGUAUUUCUUUACACAGAGGAUAUCCUUCCGUACUGUAGGCCUACUUUCCCAACGUCAAACAACCCUAGGGAUCCCAGUUCUUCAAGCUCAAUGUCAUCAAGAGGCUCAGGAAGCCGACAGAGAGAGCAAGCAAAUGUGGGCCGAAGAAAUAUGGCAGAAAUGCAAGUACUUGGGGGAUUUGAAAGAGGAGAUGAGAAUAAUGAAGAAUUAGAGGAAACUGAAAGCUGAAGACCACCAGAGAGGCUUAUGAUGCCCAUGUGAAAAGCCGUCACUCAAGAGGCCUCACGUCAGAUGACACACCGUACCAGAUGAAACGUUCAGUGCGAUCGGAGUGGACAAAUCGUCGUUUUUAUUCCUCCUGUUGGGAUAACAUUUUUAAAAAGUUUCUUGGGUUUUUAGUGUUGCUGAUUGAUUGCCUAACCCUUAAUGAAUCUCCCCCUGCCGAGAUGCUGUUGCAGCCGUUAUACUUGACUUCCGGUAUUGGAAGUGUCUUGAAUGCUUGCUUCAGCCAGCAGCCAGCGAGAAAGAACAGAUCAGUUCUUUUUGCAAUUUGCCCCUGAGAUAUGGCAUUGCACUGCUUAUCUAUCCAGCUAAUUGAUAGCAAAAUAUUGAUCAAAGAUACAAAGGGGAUCACUCAACCUCAUGCCAAGGGCUCUCAAAGUAUAACCGUUCCAUGACCAACUGCUAAUGCCAGUUAAAGCGUACUUCAUUUUAUGUGAGUUUUAGAAUCAGUCUUUCAUGCCACCCUUUGCUGGGAUAAACUAAAAAUCUAUCACACGCAGAAUUACAGUUCAUUUGAAUGGGAUAGAAGCAUUGUAAAUAUAUACUCUUUGCAACUCCUGGUGGUACUUUAUUUUGUCUUUAUUUCAAUCAUUGAAAUAUAUUCUUGGAAAUGUACUUUUGGAUAAGUAAGGCUAAGCCAGUUGGACCUCUGGUUGUCUAGUCAUUGUGAGAAGUAAACCUAGCAAAAAUCUUGUUCUAUUUUUCAAUCAAAAAGCAACUACGAAUGCAUAUUACAAGCAAAUGGAUGUUUUUAAUGACCAAUUGGGUAAGGACAUCCCUAUCUUAACUGGCCUGAAUUUCUUCUGGUAGUGUCAAUUCAACUUUCAGAAGUGCCACUUAAGGAGGUUUGUUUGAUUUAUUUUGUUUGUUUUUGUAAUGCACUGUUUUUAAUCUUUUUUUUUUUUUUUGGUUUUAAAAGCACAAUCACUAAACUUUAUUUGUAAACCAUUGUAACUAUUAACCUUUUUUGUCUUAUUGAGGAAGCUGUUGAGAAGUGUUUUUAGCCUGUUUUGUUAAUGCUCUGUGUUUCUAUUUGCAAUAUUUGAAUGGUGACAGCUAGCAAGGUCAGGUACCUUAUCGUGGGCUGUGAACCAAGUGGUUCCAAUUUUUUGUGGACUUAAAGAGAAAAAAAAAAAAAAGAGUUGUUUUAAGUUUGUUGUGGCCAAUGUUGAAUCUUAUAAGAUUUCCUUAGACACUCAUGAGAGGCAUUCCGACUUGGAACUGAGAAGUGAUGCUCCGUGACUGUAGAUUUCUAUGGGUUUUCUUUUUUCUUUUUUUUUUUUUUGGUUGCUUUUUGGGGGUUUUACAUUUUACAAAUUUCAUUGACUUUAUAAUUGGGGCUAUUUGAAGAAAACAAAAUGAACCUUUAGUCAUACAUAGGUAUCAGGCUUGACCCCACAAAACCAAACAAAAUUGACCCCCAAAAUAGAUAAAUAAAUAAAAUCAAAAGGCUGGUAUUCACCAGAAACUAAGUGUAUUCAUUUAGAUAAUUUGAAAAGGCCCCAUGUCCCAUAGAAAGGAUGUGCAGUUCUAAGGGAACAACCCACGUGAUUAAUGUUUUCAUUAUGUUCAUGUAAGAAACCUCUUAUUUUUAGCCAUACUUUUGCAUACUGAAAAUUCAAUAAUCAAAAAAGUAAUUUUGUCAUAUUAUUUAUUAAAAAUGUUCUCAAAUACAUCAUCCUUCCUUGUGUUGAUUUCUUUUUCAUUAUAUGAUUAUCAGAUUUAUUCCAUGAGAUCACAAAGUCGUUUUGUCUUAACAUUUCACCACUACGUUAUGAAAAAAGAAGGAGUUCUCAGUUUUCUUAACGAGAAUCCAGCUUCUACUGCUAAGCAAAAGUUCUCGCUUCAGUUGGGGGGAGUAAGUGGGAGAUGAUUCUGAAGUUGAAGUUAGCUGUGUGAUCAGAGAUGAACUCUGAAAAGUGUGCUGUGCUUGUUUCCGUGUGUGUAUCUGAAUUUCAGUUAGCCUAUUUCUAAAAUAAUCAGGAUGCAACUCUGUACAGUAAACCUCUUUUGUCAAGUUUAAGGCACCUAUGCUCUGUCGGGAACAAAGUUUAUAAAUCCCAUUGGUUGUCAGAAAAUUUGGACUAGCACUUAUAGACCAGGUUGCACAUUAUGAUCAAUUAAAUCACCCUAUUGCAGAAUUUCACUUGGGUGGAUGAGAUGGGUACCAUGUCGUGGAAAUGUCAAGAUCAACAGAAUAUACUGGAGUUUAGACCCCGCCCCCGACACCCACCCUGUGGUAUAUAUAUUUUUCCUUUAACCUAAUUUUUGUGUUUACCAGAAUUUGAAAAGCUGAAGAACAGACAUGGAACAACGAAGGGCUUAAUUUGGAAUUUAAUUUUAUAAAAGGGAUGUAAUUAUCAACUCCAUUUAAUACCUCUACAGACCCAGUAGUCAAGGAGUUAGUUUCUAAGCUAUUUUUUAAAGAAACAAAUCACUGGGGGGGUGGGGACAUAUGUAAUGGACUGGUUUUUCUUUUUCUAGGUGGGUAAGCUACUAAGCCACUGCCUCUCUUUUUCUAUUACAUGCUGCAAUUCACACACAAAAUCUGCACGUCAGAGGGCCGGGACAACACUGGGUUCUAGUUUUGUCAUGGCUGUGUUUCCUUGGACAUGUUACUUAACCUCUAAGUCUCAGGUACUUCACCUGUAAAGUCAAUAAGACCUACCUCAUGGAGCUGUUGUCAUGAUUCAGUGAGUUGAUGUAUCUACAUAGACUCUGUAAACUUCACAAUGGUAUAAGAUAUUGUUUAUUUAUGGACUGAAAUUCGCUACACAUGCAAUCUCCACUUUUCGAAUCUGAUUUGUUCCUAAAAUUUUGCAUGAAAGUAAAAGCAUUAAGUGUGGUAUAAGGACAAGGGUCCUCCCACCUCUGGUAAGUAAAACUCACUGUGAAAUACCCCCAUCGUGAAAUAAAUGCUUCGUGUUCUUG
rnacentral:sRNA from 1 species